GGAACAAAAUCCAGCAUCAUAAAACUGACGUGUGGCUAGCUGGACUGUACAUGGAUUUAUAACACAAUUAAGAAAAUACAAGUCAGUUUGAUGACGCUUUCUCUGCUGAGAAAAAAUAAAAUCAAAAUUUGCUUCUCCUUCGCCAAAUUUCCACCUCUCGAAUCAGAAAGAUACUGCCAGCGGUUCCUAGAGUCUGGCGGUGGUGACUGAUCGAAUUUUUGGUGGCGUUACUCUUGUUGGUCAUCUCCCUUAUGUUGAGGCGUUGAGCGAAGGGGCGUUUGAUCACUGAACUCCGGCAUGUCUGCUUUGGAGGCAAUGAGUAGUUGUGCUAAAGCCUCUUGUGGUGAAUCCAGAGACCGAGGAUGCAUAAGCGAACAAAGCAACUGAAUGUGAGAUUCAUACUGUUUUUCCAUUACUGCAUCAUUAUAAAUUUUGGAUAAACUUACACUUGGAAAGGCUGCUGCUCACGAUCUUUCUAAAUAGGGCUAAUACUUGAAAAUUACACUAAUUAUAUGUCAAUUUAGGUUUUUCCCACCAACUUUGAACGUGGUGGAAAAAUAUAUGAACUUUUUGUGUGUAACCAAUUUCUCAUGAUAAAGUACUAUGACAAAAUUUAAUUCUA